GGCCUGUCCUGGGGCAUUGGUGGCAUUCUGGGGGCAUGUCUCUUGCUGUGCCAUCUCUGCCUCCCCCUGGUAAGAGCUCUGUCUUCCUCUUCCUAUAGGAAAAGAAAACCAACAGUGAAAUACACAAAGCACAAACGGAGCAGUUAGAGGUUCAAUUCCAGACAAUCAACAUCCUCGUGUUGGAAAAAGCAGACUUGAAGACCAUCCUUUACCGUACUAAAUGUGCUGCCAGGCACUUUGAAGGAGAAUCUAAGAUCUGGCCAGCCACCUGCAAUAUUCCUUGCAGCAUAUUGGAGAGUUGGAGUGGGCUCUCUCUACUGUCUCCAUGCAGCAGCAGGAGGAGGACAGGAUGGAGGAGGACAUCUGGACAGUGAGGAGGAGGAGGUGCCUCAGCCCCUGCCAAGCAUCCUGGAGGACCUGGAGAGCCGGGAGGCCAUGGUGAGCUGACUCCCCCUGCGCCCCCUUUGCCACCUUCCUCUGUGGUCCCUCCCAGACCCCCUUAUGCUC